AACGAACGCUGGCGGCAUGCCUAACACAUGCAAGUCGAACGAGACCUUCGGGUCUAGUGGCGCACGGGUGCGUAACGCGUGGGAACCUGCCCUUAGGUUCGGAAUAACUCCCCGAAAGGGGUGCUAAUACCGGAUAAUGUCUUCGGACCAAAGAUUUAUCGCCUUUGGAUGGGCCCGCGUUGGAUUAGCUAGUUGGUAGGGUAAAAGCCUACCAAGGCGACGAUCCAUAGCUGGUCUGAGAGGAUGAUCAGCCACACUGGGACUGAGACACGGCCCAGACUCCGACGGGAGGCAGCAGUGGGGAAUAUUGGACAAUGGGCGAAAGCCUGAGCCAGCAAUGCCGCGUGAGUGAUGAAGGCCUUAGGGUUGUAAAGCUCUUUUACCCGGGAUGAUAAGGACAGUACCGGGAGAAUAAGCUCCGGCUAACUCCGU
rnacentral:rRNA from 1 species